rnacentral:lncRNA from 1 species
CUCUUCUCUCUCUCUCUCUCUCUCUCUCUCUCUCUCUCUAUCUUUGUCUCUGUUCCUUAUUUCUUGCUAAUGUUUUCCUGGCUCUGCAACUGUCCAUAGCAACCUAUUUGAGUUCUGGUGGUUGGUGCUGCAACCUAUUGGGUUCUUUGCUUUAUGGGUUUUGCUGAUGAGCUUUGAAAGAUCUAUGGGUUUUUUCUGAAAUUUGAUGCAGUUUUGUUGAAUGUCCAGCCAUGUAUUUAUAUAUGUAUAUAUGCGUGUUGCUGGUUGUGUACAUAUAGAUGUACAUGGAUAUAUAUGGAGGCAUUUAUGUGUAUAUCUAUAUAUGCCUGUUGCAUGUUUGAAUUCUGUGAAUUCAUGUAAAAUGUGCGCAAAUACAUGUGUUUGUGACCACUAUUGCAGAAAUUCAGGCAUCUGUUUCUUGUACUACUUGCACAACAAAACCCAAGACCAAGAACCACUCACAUAUACUUCAAAUCAGAGUAAUAAAACCGUGAUAUAUACAGAGUGGAGAGAGACAAAAACCAGAAGAAAAGGCAAAGCUGAUUUGUUAGAGGAGGGGGAUAGGAAGUGAAGCUACAUUUGGCAUCUCUCUCAUUGGGUUUUAUCUGCGUAGUGAUGCAAGUUUUUUAGAUGUGUAUGUUAAAGUCACCACAGUAGCAUCUUUGAUGCUUCCUGCCUUUUUUUUGUGUUUCAAAACAAGUAGUGUUGCCAAAUGAAUGGCAUGCAAUGACCAGUGUAACACUAUAUUAUUGUAAAACCCAUAGAAACAGUACAUGUAGAUAUACAUUCAAUAUGUUUUGCAAACAGGAGACGUGGCUGAAAAUGUUUGGCUUCAGAAUUUUUUGUGGCUUCAGUACAUGUAGGUAUACAUUCUAGCCAAUUUCUCUCUCUCUCUCUCUCUAAGCCUUCUUUUACUGCUAUGAUGUUUUCUUUUUCUCAAACUAGUAAAAUAGAGCUUGUCCUCUUCCUUUUAUCAAUACAAUCACCAUGAAAUUGAAAACUUGCUACUAACAGUUUUCUCUCUCUUUGUUAAAGAUAAAAUGGCCAUCGUCCUCUUAGCUCGUAUUGCCAUAGAGUACAACAAUUGGACUUAUACUAUAAAAAUUUGAAAUUGUGUUUUCUGGUUUCCAUACUGUUUCUAUUCUUAACAGAUUUCUCCACUUUAGGCCAUUGGAUUAGUUCCACCUCUGAUGCCUUCUGGUUGGAAACCUGGUAUGCCUAUUGGGAUUGGUGAUAUUGCCAUUGUUCCACCUGGUUGGAAGCCUGGUGACCCUGUUCCUUUGCCCCCUGUUGUGGAUGUACCAGUGGGUUGGAAACCAGGAGAUGCAGUUGUUCUUCCUAAGCCUGCUAAAGAAGCUGUUCCAAUGGUUCAGAAGCCGAUAGUUAGCAAUGCCCCAGAGCCUAUCCAAGUCAACUUUGUGCAGCUCGAUAUCAAUCCAGAUCAGGAUGAUUAUAGUAGCGAGUAUAGUAAUGAUGUGGGUUGCUCUGAGGAGGAUGAUGAAGAACGAGAAUUGGGUGUGAGGAUUUCUGUGGGUUGAUCUGAUGUGGUUGUUAGAAAGUGGGAUUUUGAUGGAGAAUUGGGUUUUGGAUCUGGGAUAGAAACAAUAAGAAAUCUGGUGUAUUAAUAAUAAUACACAUUUCAAAUUCCUGACAUCAAUUUGUGCAUUGUGGAGUAUUUGGCUGAUAAGGGUGUAUGUUUCAAAUUUUUCUUUUUAAAUUACUUAAUCUCCUCUUCCCCCUGGUCUAUCCCCAACAGACCACAGCAGCGAGCCUCAGGGUUCUGGAGAUCUAUCCUCCACUCCUUGCCUUCUUUCAAAGACCACAUCCUCCUCCAUCCGAGGGAUGGAUCCAUGUUUCGUUUCUGGCUAGACCCAUGGAUAUCUCUUGCUCCUCUCUUUAUGGUGUCUCCUUCUCUUUCGCCUGGCAAGAGCACCUUUUGCUUCUAUCCAGUGUCUCUUCCCUUCCAAGAACGGUUCAAGAGUCUGGGACCCCGACCUCCGGCGCUUGCUUCGCGAUUCAGAAGUUCCCGCCUUUCAGGAGUUAUCCUUUCUGAUCACCUCUUUCCCACCUCUACUAAGUGGGGCAGACCGCCUCUGCUGGGUCCCGUCUCCUUCCGGGACCUUCACUAUGGUAUCUCUACCACUCUCUCGCCAAUCCUCUCCCAAGGACCCCUCCCUGCCAGGCCACUAUCCCACGAAUGUGGUUCAGUUUUAUACCACUCAGGAUCCAAUUCUUCCUACGGCUGGCCCUGUGGGGUAAGGUCCUUAUUGUUGACCAGCUCCAAGCUAGAGGUAUCCAAAUUCCUAAUCGGCGUGUGAUGUGUCUCAAGGCAGAGGAAACCAAUGAUCGCCUCUUCCUCCACUGCCCUUUUGUGGCCGAUAUUUGGAAAUUCGCCCUCUCUUUCCAAUUGUCUGGGUGACCCUAGGUGGUGGCAUUUUUAGAGACUCCGAGGGUCUCACCCUCUUUGCCUUGUCCCUUUCCAUUGGGAGAACUGAUUCUACUGAGGCUGAGGCUCGAGCACUUCUAGAAGGCCUUAAAUGCCUUAACUGCUCUUGGGGUCACCUCCUUGUAAUAGAUGGGACUCCCAGAAUAAUAUCUUUGGCUUCGGGGGUUGCCCAACUUCCUUGGAGACUUUGGCAUGUUUUUGACGAGAUUUAUGAUCAUUGCAGGGGUAUGCGGAUCUCCUGGACUCAUAUCUAGAGGGAGGCAAACCAGGUCGCAGAUGAUCUUGCCAAAUAGGGAGCUGCUUCUGAUCUUAUCUCGGGUUAAUUGGGCUCUGGUUUAACUGCCCACUGUUUUCGGGCAUUUGUUUUAGCCCUACUGCGUCAGGUGGUUUUGUUUUACUUUAUUUCGUCUUGUGACUUUUCACGUGCUCCGGUGACAUUUUGUACUUUGACCCUCUUGGUCUUUUUGUAUUUCUUCUAUCCUUUAAUACAAAGUCAACAUUAAAAAAAAAAAAAAACUUAAUCUUGUCAGAAGGCAUCCCAAAUGCCUAUUUGGGAAUUCUGAUUGAGUAUGACGGGGGAUUUUAUAUCUUCACUUCCUUUCAUGCUUGUGGCCCACUCCAUGAAGGUUUCUUAGGAGGCCACCUCAAGUAGUAAGAUUGAGGGUUUGAAUGUCAGUGAAAUUUCCACACAUGCAAUUUUUGGAUGAUUAAGUUGUUUUCUUUAACAAUUGUUUCUUAUGGCUACUUUUUUUUUUGGGGUCCCCUGUUUCUACUCUGGUUCUAAUGCAUGAUAGUGGACCUCUCUCUCUCUCUCUCUCUCUCCUCCUUCCNNNNNNNNNNNNNNNNNNNNNNNNNNNNNNNNNNNNNNNNNNNNNNNNNNNNNNNNNNNNNNNNNNNNNNNNNNNNNNNNNNNNNNNNNNNNNNNNNNNNNNNNNNNNNNNNNNNNNNNNNNNNNNNNNNNNNNNNNNNNNNNNNNNNGUAGUUAAGUUAGUUUUCGUUUUAACUAACUUAGUUUCUUAUUGUCGUUACGUUUUUUUUCGGGUUUUCCCGUUCGUUUCUUACUCUGUUCGUAUAGCAUGAUAGUGACGUCUCUCUCUCUCUCUCUCUCUCUCCCCCUUGUUCCUUUUUUGACGGGAUGCUCUGUCUUGUAUAGAUCUUACUUCUAAGUUAUCUGAUAUCUGAU